GCACUGGAUGAGGACUGAUGCUUCUUGUGUGACCUCCCAAGUAUUCAUUUAUGUAACACCUAUUGAAUGAAGACGUGUGAAGAUGGAUAUUUGAAAGUAAUGCGUUUCACUCAUUCAUGUGGAGGCUUCACCUGAUGGAUGCCUCGUUCUGUGAAUAAACUGGCGGUGUUGAU
rnacentral:lncRNA from 1 species